UCCAUCAUCUGUUUUUAUUUUUGUAGCUUAAGAACUUAAUGCACUAUUCUCACUUGUCUCAAUAGAGUUUCUUUCAUAAUGUUAAUUAUAAUGGUUUAUAUUCUAACAGAUGAGAAUUUCAACCACAGGAAACUUGUUUCCCAAAUUGCUGUUAUCCAUCAUGUAAGAGGUGGCGCAGGUCGUGGAUUAACAGUCAGGAGCUGUUGUCCAUUCCUGGGAGAGUACUUUCACAGAGCAGGAGAAAGUUGAAACCUGGGCAAUACUGAUCUCAAGUCUUGGCGUAUGGUCUCAAAGUCUGAUCUUUGCAUUGAUUCAUGGAACUGGGGUUGAAUGGAAUAGAGUGGAAUUUUAUAAUGAGGCUGUGGCUUCAGGCAGAAGUACAGAGAGCAACAUUGGCAGAAGGCUUAGCCGCACUUCCCUCUCUCAUGCUUGCACUCAGGAAAUGCUACUUCAUGGGUUGCAGCUACUUGUCAGGCUCAUGACUCAACAAACUGAAGUCUUGCCAAAUGAGAUUUUGUUUCAAAAUUCAGGCUGCUCACUCACGGCACAUGUGUCGCUAGAUGUAACUAAUUACCUUAAGGUCAGCUCUGCUCUUGUCCUUAGGCUGCUAGGAGAAGCCACGGAUGAAGCAGAAGAGGAAACAGCAUGACCUUGGAUGCAGAGGUCAACAGGAUGCCAACAAACGGUCAUGCUAUUUCCUUUCUUUGUAAAGUCAAGCCCAUGAUCACUUUAGGCAAAUGGAAGAUGAAAAAUAAUUCUGGAAAGGCUACUUUACUGAGUGGUAAAUGGCAAAUGUGUGUGUGUGUGUGUGUGUGUGUGUGUGUGUGUGUGUGUGUGUGUGAUGUUUGAAUGAUGUCAGCUUAUUUUAGAAUGUAAAUUCUUGCAUCCUUUUAGAAGUCUAAAGUGUGACAAGGGUUCAUUGAAGGAAAAGUACUUGUCAUGAGUCCUGUGGCUGUCACUUUGAGGAGUGACUUACUUCACUCAAUUCAAACACUCACUGGAAAGACCAUUCUUGAAUAAUGGGGUAUGAGUACAAACUCCCUCAAGUACAAUGUAGUGACAGCGUCUUUAAAAGGCAGUGCUAGAAAAAGCAUGUGCUUCAUAGCCAAGGAAAGAGUCAUAACCCCAGAGAUACCAUGGGAGUUAGACCUUGGCGGGCGAGCACUUCUUGGCAUUUGCUACUACUAUUCUCUGGUCAGGCCAGCUCACUUGUGUUCAGAGCUUAUUGCUAAAUUGUGGGAAAUUUUUUAGCCCUUAUCAACGGUUGGUUACAAAAGUUUAGUCAUAGAAAUGUUUACACCAUAAAUAUGCAAAUGGUCCACACCGGGGCUUUAAUUUAAUUUUUAAUUAUUUUCUAAGAGCUGGCCUAGCAACACACUCUUGCUUCUAGCUCCUCAUAUCUGAUCUCUGCCCUCUCCUCCAGCAUUCUCAACUAAGGCUCUUUAGCUGUUUUUCUACUUUUCAUUCACAGAGGGUUUUUUCUUUCCUUCCUGACUUGACCACUGAGGCAGCUGUCACACACAAAGGAUGUUUAACAGUUUGUCCCCAUAAAACAGAUCCUGAAAAUGCCAUUUUUCUUUCUAUUUAAACCAAGGUGCUACUACCCAAGAAAAAAUGUUGAAAGACAAAAGGAUUUCUUCUGGGGGAGUCAUUAGCAAUGUGUCCAUCUCUUACUACAUGGCUUGGGGACUGGAGAGGCAUGGUGUUCUCUUUCAAAUAAUGAUUAAUGGGCUCCCGCUGAGGAUUCUUGGUGACCAGUUCUCUGAGUCACCCUCAUUGGAAGAUAGUUGAAAAGAUCCUAAGAGAACAGACAUGUAUAGUUUAGAACAGUAUGGAAAGAGAAAGUGAUUAAUCCUACUAACGAUCUGGGUAAGUCAGGGUUGUGUGAAAAUCUAGUCCCAGGUUUUAACCCACUGUAGCAUGCAGAGAGUAUAAAUGAAUUGUUCUAGGCCUGAAACCUAUAGUCAAACUCCCCACUUCCUGGAGUCCUCUUCUGAGACUUGUCCUGUCUGUGUCAGCAUGACAACAUUUUGUUCCAGGAAACGUCUUGCAAAAAACCACAGUUGUACUUUAGUGAAGACCUUCACUACUGGCCUUGGGAGGUUCGUGCAUAUGACUUUGUCAGUGCUGUCAGACAGACAGGUUUGAAGCCUUUUGAGCCCCGCUUGCUCCUUGACAUCCACCAAGGUUACCAAAGCUCUGUCAAAGUCUUCUCAUUGAGUAAAUAUCAUUGGGCAAAGGCUUAGCUUUUCUUCAUUAGAGGUUUCUCUUUUGUUGUUAUAAUUUUGAAGAUGACGCAUUUCAUCCUAAGGCUAAGGAAAGUAAUACCUUAAGACCACUUCUUUCUUGUUACAAUUACAACCAUGACUUUACAGACGUUUGCCCUGAAAGUCUCUACCAUCACGGUGAGGUAGUUGGCAUAUAGGUUGAAUGAGUCUCCCAGAAACUCAAGCUGUAAGUUUUACACUCUACCCUUGUGCUGCUGUUCGAAAGUGAUAAGAUUCUUUUUUUAUGAGGUGCUUACUGGUAGAAUGGCUUUAGGGCAUUGUGGAUUUGUCCUCAGAGAGGGUUAACAUAAUUCUCACUGGGCCUGUCUCACCCUGUAAACUCUUAAAUACCUAUCUGCCAUGGUUUCAUCCUCCAUUAGGCAAUGAAGCUGGGAGCACCCUGGGGCAGUCAGUACAAUGACGUUUGGGCUUCCAGUAUCCAAGCUCUGAGCCAUAUAAGGCUUGACAUAGUACGUAGCCUUGGCGAUCUUCUUAUAACGAAAAGACGGUAAGGUGCUUAGUGGACACAUAAUCUGUUUCCUGUGACAUUUUGAUUUAAGAAUAUCUUGCCUUACAGUGGUUUCUUCACUUUGGAUCUAAUGUGUUCCAGCACUCUAGAUCUGCAAGGUCCCCUGAAGGUAGGCAGGUGAGUCACCCGCACUGGAUGUAGACCUGUUUUGAGGGAGGGAACUUGGCACAAAAUCAGAACCAUUUCCUCUUGUCAUAUUAAAUGUUGCCUUAAGCUCUUCUGUUGAAAUGUUCUAGGCUCAAAUAAAAUAAUGCAUGGCCCUGACACGCCGUGUCUUUCUAAAAUGGAUUGCUUGCUUGCUGAACGUACCACUGUGUGAGUGACCACAGGGAUGGGGACGGUUCAGGGACACUUUGCUGGACUCAAAUAUGGAGAUGACAGAGCUGUGUGACCGGCCUUGAGUUGACUGUGACAUCUGCUUUUCCAGAAACUAUGAAAAUCUCCUAACUAUUUUGAUUAUAAUGACUACAAAAAUCUCUAUCUGCUUUGCAAUAUAGAAAGUUAUUAAUAUUCACGUGAUGUGGGUCUUCAGGCUGCCACAGAGUUCAUGAUGAAGAAGAAUUAGUUGGCAAAACAGCAAAGAGGGUGAGAAUUAAAAUAUACAUGGAGUAUCUGCUCUGGGCAGCCAGAAUCCUGGCUUUUUCUGUGCAUGAAUUCAUUUAACUCUCACACCAACCUAUAAUACAGUAUAGGUGGGGCAACCGGGAUUCAGAGAGGUUGACCUAAAUCAUAGACGACAAAUAAAGUUAGUGUUGUUAGCUGGCCACCUGCUCAGUAAAUGUUCUCACUGAAACAAACGAAUGCAAUGGGAUCGGAGAGAGGUGGCCAUGGACAGCUAUGUCAGGUCACUCUUCAAAUCUCAUCUUUUAGAAAACUACUUUCAGCCUACCUCAAUUCUCUCUAACAUAAGAUAGACCACAAUAUAAGCCCUGUUAGCGGUAUAAGAAUAGUACUUCAAAUAGAGCUAAGAGUAGCCAAAGUGCGAUUUUCUUGUGCAUGUGAAAAUGUGACUGAAUAUCUGGGACACUUGGACUAUAAUAACUGUUAUUAAUUGAGCCUACAUUUUGGUAAAACACCGAGUUAAGUUCCAGUUAUCCCUUACUCUUUGUUUUUGGUCUCUGAAUUUCUUCUCCUGUUUUGUUUUUGCACAUUAGGGCCUGGAACUAAAGAGACAGCAUCAAGGUCACACAGGAAUAUGGAGAAGGGAUUCAGAGUCAGGAGGGAACAGGCCACCUUUCAUAUCUAGGCCACAUUGUUCUUUGACUCCAUGUGAGGAGAAAACAUCAUUCAUGGUCCCUAGAGGAGUUUACAGUGGAUUAAUAUGUGCAUGAAACUUUUAAGAAGUUUAAAACUGCAAAACCUUUUAAAAGUUUGACAGAUCAAAGUUUCAUGAGGCCCAAAGGACAUCAUGCCAUGGGACAUCCCUGAAAGAAAGAUUUCAGUGUAAAACUGAGCACAGAAAGAGACAUUUAUUGUAAACAACAAAACAACAUACAGUGUAUAUUUAUUAUUUAGCCUCUGCUUUGUUGUUAUUGUUGUUUUAUUUUGUUUUCAUCCUGUGAAGAGGUGAAAGAUGUUGGGGUAAAGGAGUUGACAUAUUAAAUAAUAUUUGAAGUUCUUUUAUUACACCGUGUCUGAAAUGGAAACAAAACACAGGUAGGAGAGGCCACUGACAGGCAGACCAGCCCCAAGGAGCAGUCUUCAGAGAUGUCAGAGAUUCCUUAGCUUCCUAACUCUCAAGGACAAUUUAAGAAUGCAAAGUUAGAGCUAAGACUUUGGAUCUUCAAUUUCUAGCGUUGAGCCAGCCCUUCCAAAGGAGAUGCUUGAAGAUUAAGAGAAACACUUAUAUAAAAGUUGUAGCUGAUUUUCAGCCUUGAACAAAUGAGAGAACAGUGCGCUGGCAAACCGGUCUGGCUGGCACCUGUGUGCUCUCGGGCCUGCAUCACUUGCCUCUGAGGACUGUGUUGCAGAAGGCAGUGUGAAGAAGACAGGAAAAGUACAGAGAACAGAGGGCUCUGACCACGCAGAUCCACUGGACCUGUUCUCCUCCUUUGGGGCAGCAGAAAUUACAGAGAAGGGCUGUGAAUUCGGUGAAUGCGUGUGGAAUGAGCACCAGCAGCUCAGGCUCCUUCCCAUUAGUCCUCACAAAACGGGCUUCUCUAGGUGACUUAACGCUGGUGGUUCAGAUUCGCAUGUAUGUGACCAAGGAACAACUCCAUAUUUUCCAAAAAGCCCAGAGAACAUAAAUCAUGUGUCCCUCUCCUUUCUCCUUGUGUUGGUCAUUUUGGGGAGCUACCAGAAGACGGUUGCUACGUGGACAUCCUCAUUCAACCCUGAAAGCUGCUGUGAGGAUGACUGUAGGCAAACUAUUUGAAUGCAGCAUUCUCUCCUGAAGAGAAACGGAGUAAAGAAAGACAACAAAGUAGAACUCUCCUGUAACUAGCAGCAACUGAAAACAUACAGUGUAUCUUACAUCUUGUUCCAUUAUUAUCCAGAUCUACGGCCCCAAAACAAAUUGAUAUCCCUCAUAAGGGGGAAAAUACGUGCGUAUUAUACUUCCCAAGUUCAAUGGUUGUCAGAAGAAUCUGUGUUUCUAGAUGCAUCCUGUCACGUUAAUUCAUUCCAGAGGGGCAAGCAACUGGAAGCAAACCAGACAAGCAUGAAAUCAACAGAAAGGCAGAAGGAGAUGAGUGAGGUGCGGAAGAGCCCUGCUUUGUUGGGGCAGGCCCACUCUUGCCUCUCUGAUUAAUGUACCUUUCUCAGGGUUUAGCCAUGAUCUUUCUCAAAGUAAACUACCUUUGAUGAAUUUGGGUUAAAAAUAAUACUCAACUUUUUCAUCCAGUCGAAAGUUGUAUUUAUUUUCACUGUCUUAGAAUUAAAUAUUUAUGUGUGUGCUGUGUUCAUUUUAAAUAAAAGGAGUAAAAAU
rnacentral:sRNA from 1 species